rnacentral:rRNA from 1 species
UACAGAGGUGGCAAGCGUUGUUCGGAAUCAUUGGGCGUAAAGCGCGUGUAGGCGGUCCGGUAAGUCUGCUGUGAAAGUCGGGGGCUCAACCCUCGGAAGCCGGUGGAUACUGCCAGGCUAGAGUGCGGAAGAGGCGAGUGGAAUUCCUGGUGUAGCGGUGAAAUGCGCAGAUAUCAGGAGGAACACCGAUUGCGAAGGCAGCUCGCUGGGACGUCACUGACGCUGAGGAGCGAAAGCGUGGGGAGCGAACAGG